ACGUAGGGUGCAAGCGUUGUCCGGAUUUAUUGGGUUUAAAGGGUGCGCAGGCGGCCUAUUAAGUUCGUGGUGAAAUCGUUCGGCUUAACCGAAUACCCGCCAUGGAUACUGGUAGGCUUGAGUAUGUCUGAGGGAGCUGGAAUGCGUGGUGUAGCGGUGAAAUGCAUAGAUAUCACGCAGAACACCUAUUGCGAAGGCAGGCUUCUAGGACAUAACUGACGCUGAGGCACGAAAGCGUGGGGAGCGAACAGG
rnacentral:rRNA from 1 species